AACGAACGCUGGCGGCAGGCCUAACACAUGCAAGUCGAGCGCCCCGCAAGGGGAGCGGCGGACGGGUGAGUAACGCGUGGGAACGUACCCUUUGCUACGGAAUAGCCUCGGGAAACUGGGAGUAAUACCGUAUGUGCCCUUCGGGGGAAAGAUUUAUCGGCAAAGGAUCGGCCCGCGUUGGAUUAGGUAGUUGGUGGGGUAAUGGCCUACCAAGCCGACGAUCCAUAGCUGGUUUGAGAGGAUGAUCAGCCACACUGGGACUGAGACACGGCCCAGACUCCUACGGGAGGCAGCAGUGGGGAAUCUUAGACAAUGGGCGCAAGCCUGAUCUAGCCAUGCCGCGUGAGCGAUGAAGGCCUUAGGGUUGUAAAGCUCUUUCAGUGGGGAAGAUAAUGACUGUACCCACAGAAGAAGCCCCGGCUAACUCCGUGCCAGCAGCCGCGGUAAAGUAGACG
rnacentral:rRNA from 1 species